GGGACGCAACGGGAAGAACCGCACCCCGGCCUGGCGCCGCCUAUUGGCGGGACCUUCGCAAGCUGGAGCCUAGAGAGGCAUUUCCUGAACACCCAUCAUGUCCCAAGCCCCUUGCUAGAGAUGCCGAGAACAAACGACACGGGUCUCGCCUUCAAGCAGCCGGCAGCCCAGUGAGGGACACCUGCAAGUGACCAGUGACAGGGCUGUUCUGAGGGCCAGCGAAGAAGCCGGCUGGAAUCGAAUGCCGUGGCUGCACAGCAGAGGGCAGGACCCGGCUUAGCCUGGCCCAGCGCGCGUUAUGACGCAGUUAACACUGCGGGGUGAGCCCCCUCCCGUAGGUCUCUCCGUGUGCACCCUGGGUGAAAACAUGCGUAAAGGAGGUGGGCGUGCCUGAGCACGGGAACCUGAGCUGUCAGCCAGCCUGGGCACUCAAGGACGGAGGCCGUCAGUAAUCGAUCAUGAACACGCCCCCCAUGCCAGGCUACGGGAACAGGGAAAACAGGAGAGGCGCCGUUCCUCCUCCUGGGCCUCCCCCAGUCCUCGGGGGUGUACCUACCACACCGCCUUUCACUUCACCAGUAAAAUCUA